rnacentral:sRNA from 24 species
CGGGCUGAUCGCAAGAUCCGGGUCCACCUUCGGCGGGGAUGUUCCCC